rnacentral:misc_RNA from 1 species
GAUGAAGAACGCAGUGAAAUGCGAUAAGUAAUGUGAAUUGCAGAAUUCAGUGAAUCAUCGAAUCUUUGAACGCACAUUGCGCCCUCUGGUAUUCCGGAGGGCAUGCCUGUUCGAGCGUCAUUUCACCACUCAAGCCUGGCUUGGUAUUGGGCGCCGCGGUGUUCCGCGCGCCUCAAAGUCUCCGGCUGAGCUGUCCGUCUCCAAGCGUUGUGAUUUCAUUAAUCGCUUCGGAGUGCGGGCGGCCGCGGCCGUUAAAUCUUUCACAAGGUUGACCUCGGAUCAGGUAGGGAUACCCGCUGAACUUAAGCAUAUCAAUAAGCGGAGGA